UACGUAGGGUGCGAGCGUUAAUCGGAAUUACUGGGCGUAAAGCGUGCGCAGGCGGCUUUGCAAGACAGAUGUGAAAUCCCCGGGCUCAACCUGGGAACUGCAUUUGUGACUGCAAGGCUAGAGUACGGCAGAGGGGGAUGGAAUUCCGCGUGUAGCAGUGAAAUGCGUAAAUAUGCGGAGGAACACCAAUGGCGAAGGCAAUCCCCUGGGCCUGUACUGACGCUCAUGCACGAAAGCGUGGGGAGCAAACAGG
rnacentral:rRNA from 1 species